rnacentral:rRNA from 1 species
AUUGAACGCUGGCGGCAGGCCUAACACAUGCAAGUCGAACGGUAACAGAAAGCAGCUUGCUGCUUUGCUGACGAGUGGCGGACGGGUGAGUAAUGUCUGGGAAACUGCCUGAUGGAGGGGGAUAACUACUGGAAACGGUAGCUAAUACCGCAUAACGUCGCAAGCCCAAAGAGGGGGACCUUCGGGCCUCUUGCCCUCGGAUGGGCCCAGAUGGGAUUAGCUUGUUGGUGGGGUAACGGCUAACCAAGGCGACGAUCCCUAGCUGGUCUGAGAGGAUGACCAGCCACACUGGAACUGAGACACGGUCCAGACUCCUACGGGAGGCAGCAGUGGGGAAUAUUGCACAAUGGGCGCAAGCCUGAUGCAGCCAUGCCGCGUGUAUGAAGAAGGCCUUCGGGUUGUAAAGUACUUUCAGCGGGGAGGAAGGGAGUAAAGUUAAUACCUUUGCUCAUUGACGUUACCCGCAGAAGAAGCACCGGCUAACUCCGUG